rnacentral:rRNA from 1 species
UACCAGCACCCCGAGUGGUCGGGACGAUUAUUGGGCCUAAAGCAUCCGUAGCCGGUCCUACAAGUCUUCCGUUAAAUCCAGCUGCUUAACAGAUGGGCCGCGGGAGAUACUACAGGGCUAGGAGGCGGGAGAGGCAAGCGGUACUUUAUGGGUAGGGGGUAAAAUCCGCUGAUCCAUAGAAGACCACCAGUGGCGAAGGCGGCUUGCCAGAACGCGCUCGACGGUGAGGGAUGAAAGCUGGGGGAGCAAACCGG